rnacentral:pre_miRNA from 1 species
CUUUUUAAGACAUAACAACAACAUCUUUGAUGAGUCUUCUAUUUUUAGGGACUGAUGUCAUUUUCUGACGUGUCUAAAGACU